rnacentral:lncRNA from 1 species
UUUGAGUGGUUGAUUUGCGUUCGAUAACUGAGUAGCCGUCCGUCUCCGUGGCCGACAUGCGAUCGAUGGAUGUUGGAGUCCGGCCUUUGGAUUCCAUCGGUGUGGAUGAGCCGUCGAUCUGGAAGUUUGACUUCGGUUCGAUCGCGGAGGAGACGUCGGUUUGCAUGUUUGAGGUGCGGUUUCUGGAGGCUGAAAGGUGGCUUUUGGAUUCCAUCGAUGUGAAUUUUUUAAUAUGUCUUGAGGAUUACCAUCAAAACAU